UACGAAGGGGGCGAGCGUUGUUCGGAAUUACUGGGCGUAAAGGGCGCGUAGGCGGUCCUUCAAGUCAGGCGUGAAAGCCCCGGGCUCAACCUGGGAACCGCGCUUGAGACUGGUGGACUCGAGUUCGGGAGAGGAUGGUGGAAUUCCCAGUGUAGAGGUGAAAUUCGUAGAUAUUGGGAAGAACACCGAUGGCGAAGGCAGCCAUCUGGACCGACACUGACGCUGAGGCGCGAAAGCGUGGGGAGCAAACAGG
rnacentral:rRNA from 1 species